UCGGGAAUUUUGGGCAAUGGGCGAAAGCCUGACCCAGCAACGCCGCGUGAGGGAUGAAGUAUUUCGGUAUGUAAACCUCGAAAGAAUGGGAAGAAUAAAUGACGGUACCAUUUAUAAGCUCCGGCUAACUACGUGCCAGCAGCCGCGGUAAUACGUAGGGAGCAAGCGUUGUUCGGAUUUACUGGGCGUAAAGGGCGCGUAGGCGGCGCGGUAAGUCACUUGUGAAAUCUCUGAGCUUAACUCAGAACGGCCAAGUGAUACUGCUGUGCUAGAGUGCGGGAGAGGCAACCGGAAUUCUUGGUGUAGCGUUGAAAUGCGUAGAUAUCAAGAGGAACACCUGAGGCGAAGGCGGGUUGCUGGGCCGACACUGACGCUGAUGCGCGAAAGCCAGGGGAGCAAACG
rnacentral:rRNA from 1 species